UACGGGGGGUGCGAGCGUUGUCCGGAAUCACUGGGCGUAAAGGGCUCGUAGGCGGUCUGUCACGUCGGGAGUGAAAACACGGGGCUUAACCCCGUGCCUGCUUCCGAUACGGGCAGACUAGAGGUAUGCAGGGGAGAACGGAAUUCCUGGUGUAGCGGUGAAAUGCGCAGAUAUCAGGAGGAACACCGGUGGCGAAGGCGGUUCUCUGGGCAUUACCUGACGCUGAGGAGCGAAAGUGUGGGGAGCGAACAGG
rnacentral:rRNA from 1 species